rnacentral:misc_RNA from 1 species
CCGAGUGAGGGCCUCCGGGCCCGACCUCCAACCCUUUGUGAACACACCCGUUGCUUCGGGGGCGACCCUGCCGUUUCGACGGCGAGCGCCCCCGGAGGUCUUCCAACACUGCAUCUUUGCGUCGGAGUUUGAGGAAAUGAAACA